CUGAAAUCUCCUGCAGCAGCCCCAGGCAAGAGCGGUGAAUCCAACCCAUCAGCACUUGGUGCACAGCCCCACGUGGCUCUUGUGGUAUAUAGGUUUAGUUUUAUGUUGAGAAAGUAUAUAUUUAUGAGCAUUUGGUCACAUUUCUCUCUCUAUUAUUUACAGGUAAAGUAACUAAGAGAGGAUUUCUUUUUCCUUCCCUCCUCUCUUCCUUUCAUCUUUUUUUUUCCCCCUUUUCUGAUUGCUUGACACAGCUCUCCCAACUGAAAGAAGGCAUUUAUAGCAGCUUUGCUGAAGUUGAGAAAGUCGAGCCUGAGAUAAACAUGGCCAUGUGAGAAGAAAAUUAGCUCCAGAUUGUUUCAUUCCAUGCAAGCAAAACAUUGAAAAGGCC
rnacentral:lncRNA from 1 species